UACUGUGGUAACAAAGACACCUACAUCUUGGAUGCCCUUGAGGUAUGCUUGUCAUCACUUCGUGGGAUGGAUGUUCGAGCUCUCAUAAAGUUAUUAUUCUUACGAGGACCUCUGCUGGAAUAAACAGGCCUGCUUUCCCAGGGAAAUAUGAUGAAGGGAAC